UCGCCCCAAAAAAGAAGGAGCCUGUCUCAGGAAGGUUUUAAAAGACAAUAUUGAUCCUCUGUGAGGGGCUCUCCUGCUGCUGGACUACAGUGCUUGGUCGUGCACAGUGUGAGGGGGUGCAGCUGCUUUUGUUGUGAUGACACACUUUGGUUUCUGUCCUGGUGUACACAGUGUGUGCUGCGGUGCAGAGGAUUCCAGCUGCCAUCAUUUUCAGUGGAAAGAAUAAUGAUCACAGGGAACUUUUCUGCAGGAGAUUUGCUGCCACACUGAAUUGGCAAGAAUCUUGCAGAAAAAUACACAAGGCUUUGCAGCAGAGAUCAGCUGUGGAACCUUGCUAUCAACACUGCAAGCUGAGAUGCUUCUUUCAUGCAAAUUAUGACUUCUGUGAGCAAGUGAUAAGCUUUUUCAAACAGCAUGGUAA